rnacentral:rRNA from 1 species
UACGGGGGGGGCAAGCGUUGUUCGGAAUUACUGGGCGUAAAGGGCUCGUAGGUGGCCAACUAAGCCAGACGUGAAAUCCCUCGGCUUAACCGGGGAACUGCGUCUGAUACUGGAUGGCUUGAGUUCGGGAGAGGGAUGCGGAAUUCCAGGUGUAGCGGUGAAAUGCGUAGAUAUCUGGAGGAACACCGGUGGCGAAGGCGGCAUCCUGGACCGACACUGACGCUGAGGAGCGAAAGCCAGGGGAGCAAACGGG